CACGGGGCAACCUGGUGGCGAGUGGCGAACGGGUGAGUAAUAUAUCGGAACAUACCCUAGAGUGGGGGAUAACGUAGCGAAAGUUACGCUAAUACCGCAUACGAACUAAGGUUGAAAGUGGGGGCUCGCAAGACCUCAUGCUCAUGGAGUGGCCGAUAUCUGAUUAGCUAGUUGGUGAGGUAAAGGCUCACCAAGGCGACGAUCAGUAGCUGGUCUGAGAGGACGACCAGCCACACUGGAACUGAGACACGGUCCAGACUCCUACGGGAGGCAGCAGUGGGGAAUUUUGGACAAUGGGGGCAACCCUGAUCCAGCAAUGCCGCGUGAGUGAAGAAGGCCUUCGGGUUGUAAAGCUCUUUUGUCAGGGAAGAAACGGUGGAUCCUAAUAUGGUCUGCUAAUGACGGUACCUGAAGAAUAAGCACCGGCUAACUACGUGCCAGCAGCCGCGGUAAUACGUAGGGUGCAAGCGUUAAUCGGAAUUACUGGGCGUAAAGCGUGCGCAGGCGGUUAUAUAAGUCAGAUGUGAAAUCCCUGGGCUCAACCUAGGAACUGCAUUUGAGACUGUAUGGCUAGAGUGUGUCAGAGGGGGGUAGAAUUCCACGUGUAGCAGUGAAAUGCGUAGAGAUGUGGAGGAAUACCGAUGGCGAAGGCAGCCCCCUGGGAUAACACUGACGCUCAUGCACGAAAGCGUGGGGAGCAAACAGGAUUAGAUACCCUGGUAGUCCACGCCCUAAACGAUGUCUACUAGUUGUCGGGACUUAAUUGUCUUGGUAACGCAGCUAACGCAUGAAGUAGACCGCCUGGGGAGUACGGUCGCAAGAUUAAAACUCAAAGGAAUUGACGGGGACCCGCACAAGCGGUGGAUGAUGUGGAUUAAUUCGAUGCAACGCGAAAAACCUUACCUACCCUUGACAUGGU
rnacentral:rRNA from 1 species